UCCUUUUCAUUCUCCUCAACAAACUUCUUCCUUCCCAUAUUGCAAAACAAAAACAAAGAGAGUGAAGAGGGAGCAAGAGAAGAGAGAUUCAUAUGGCUUGAGCAAGAUUGAAGCAAGCAAACAACAAAACAAACUCCUACAAACCUCCAUAAUCAACCUACUUCAUCCUCUCCACCGAAACAUUAAUAUUUUCUAGAGAGAGAGAAAUGGGUGGAGUGAUUUUACUUGAUUUAAGCUACGGGAGUGUUCAAGGAGAAAGGAAAUCAGAUUCUAGCAGG
rnacentral:lncRNA from 1 species